UACGUAGGGUGCGAGCGUUAAUCGGAAUUACUGGGCGUAAAGCGUGCGCAGGCGGUUAUUUAAGUCAGGUGGGAAAGCCCUGGGCUUAACCUAGGAAUUGCGCUUGAGACUGGAUAGCUUGGAGUGCGGCAGAGGGAGGUGGAAUUCCACGUGUAGCAGUGAAAUGCGUAGAUAUCUGGAGGAAUACCGGUGGCGAAGGCGGCAUCCUGGACCGACAUUGACGCUGAGGAGCGAAAGCUAGGGGAGCAAACGGG
rnacentral:rRNA from 1 species